UUGGAAAAAAGGAGGAAAAAUGGUAAAGAAAUCCCGUGAAAAAGACGUGGAAAAUUUUUCCCUGCCUGCGCGGGCCAUACAUGCCACGCACACGCAUGCACGCGGCUAGCCAGACGUGCGCUUUCUCGUACAUCCCAUCUGUGCAGGGUACGAGGUGCGUAGCAGGCUUUGAGCAGCGCGUGCCACACCUUAGGCAUUAUGUGCUGCCCCUUGGGGAGGUAAGCCACUGCUCAGCCGGCGUGUCGUCACCAUUUGGGAUGCAUGAGCUGUCUCUCAGCCAGUGUUUCGUCACCAUUUGGGAGGCGUGAGCUGUCCCUCAGCCAGUGUGUCUUCCGUCUUUGUGCCACUGCCGCAUCACUGUUGUCUCAUUGUCGUCUAUCAGUCACGUCCGUCAGUCAUCGUGUUGCAUCAAUCUACUUUUCCCUCCCUCUCUCCUCAUGGAUUUGCGCCACUUGGUGAAGAUCCAAUGGUUCCCUUUUUCUAUAAAUAGGGACCCUUCUCACAAUGCCUUCAUCACUUCAUCUUCAUUUUUUCAUUCACUAAAGCAAUUCUCAAGAGAGA
rnacentral:lncRNA from 1 species